rnacentral:rRNA from 1 species
UCAGCAGCCGCGGUAAUACGUAGGUGGCGAGCGUUGUCCGGAAUUACUGGGCGUAAAGGAUGAGUAGGCGGCCUGUUAAGUCGGGUGUGAAACAUCGGGGCUCAACCCCGAUCUUGCACUUGAUACUGGCAGGCUUGAGGGCAGGAGAGGAAUGCGGAAUUCCCGGUGUAGCGGUAAAAUGCGUAGAUAUCGGGAGGAACACCAGUGGCGAAGGCGGCAUUCUGGACUGUACCUGACGCUGAGUCAUGAAAGCUAGGGGAGCGAACGGGAUUAGAUACCCCGGUAGUCCUAGCCGUAAACGAUGGGUACUAGGUGUGGGAGGUAUCGACCCCUCCCGUGCCGCAGUUAACGCAAUAAGUACCCCGCCUGGGGAGUACGGCCGCAAGGUUGAAACUUAAAGGAAUUGGCGGGGGAU